rnacentral:tRNA from 2 species
GCCAGGGUAGCUCAAUGGUGGAGCACCACAUUCAUAACGUGGCGGUUGUGGGUUCGAUCCCCACCCCUGGUACCU